CCUGUCUCUUUGCAACUUCCUGAGUGUGGCUGCCAGCUGCCUCCUGCUCCUACUGUCGUGCCUUCUUGGCCAUUAUGAUGGCUAGUUUUUACAUCAAAUUGACACAAGCUGGGAAAGGAGGAAACCUCACCUAAGGACAUGCCUCUGUAUGAUCUGGCAAGCAGAAGCAGAAAAGGGUAACUGAUGUGGCGUCAUGCAACUAUAAUCUCAUACUUGAGGGAUGGAGUCAGAAGAAUUAGGAGUUCAAGGCCAGAUAAGGAUACAGAUCCAUCCAUUUAUAGAUAUGGAUAAAAAGCAGAAACAUUUGAAAUCCAAGAAGUAGAUGGGGUUGAAGAAGGAUUGGAGCUCCAAAAGAUGGUGACAAGUGUCACCUGCCAUCCAAGUACACAAGCCUUACUCUCAGGAUUACAAUUCUGCUUUAUAAAGUCACUGAGGUUUGGGAGGAAGCUUGGCUACUGUAGCAUAAAGUAUUAUCUCAUUAACAGAGGGAAAUAAACUCCAAAAAUCUCUGUCUACU
rnacentral:lncRNA from 1 species